GACGAACGCUGGCGGCGUGCCUAAUACAUGCAAGUCGAGCGCAGGAAGCCGUCUGAACCCUUUGGGGGGACGACGGCGGAAUGAGCGGCGGACGGGUGAGUAACACGUAAAGAACCUGCCCAUAGGUCUGGGAUAACCACGAGAAAUCGGGGCUAAUACCGGAUGUGUCAUCGGACCGCAUGGUCCGCUGAUGAAAGGCGCUCCGGCGUCGCCCAUGGAUGGCUUUGCGGUGCAUUAGCUAGUUGGUGGGGUAACGGCCCACCAAGGCGACGAGGCAUAGCCGACCUGAGAGGGUGAUCGGCCACACUGGGACUAAGGCACGGCCCAGACUCCUACGGGAGGCAGCAGUAGGGAAUCUUCCACAAUGGACGAAAGUCUGAUGGAGCAACGCCGCGUGAACGAUGAAGGCUUUCGGGUCGUAAAGUUCUGUUGUAAGGGAAGAACAAGUGCCGCAGGCAAUGGCGGCACCUUGACGGUACCUUGCGAGAAAGCCACAGCUAACUACGUGCCAGCAGCCGCCGUAACAC
rnacentral:rRNA from 1 species